rnacentral:rRNA from 1 species
GUCCACGCCCUAAACGAUGUCAACUAGCCGUUGGAGGAAUUUAAUCCUUUAGUGGCGCAGCUAACGCGUUAAGUUGACCGCCUGGGGAGUACGGCCGCAAGGUUAAAACUCAAAGGAAUUGACGGGGGCCCGCACAAGCGGUGGAGCAUGUGGUUUAAUUCGAUGCAACGCGAAGAACCUUACCAGGCCUUGACAUCCUGAGAACUUUCUAGAGAUAGAUUGGUGCCUUCGGGAACUCAGUGA